GAUGAAGAACGCAGCGAAAUGCGAUACGUAGUGUGAAUUGCAGAAUUCAGUGAAUCAUCGAAUCUUUGAACGCACAUUGCGCCCGCCAGCAUUCUGGCGGGCAUGCCUGUUCGAGCGUCAUUUCAACCCUCGAGCCCCCCCGGGGGCCUCGGUGUUGGGGGACGGCACACCAGCCGCCCCCGAAAUGCAGUGGCGACCCCGCCGCAGCCUCCCCUGCGUAGUAGCACACACCUCGCACCGGAGCGCGGAGGCGGUCACGCCGUAAAACGCCCAACUUUCUUAGAGUUGACCUCGGAUCAGGUAGGAAUACCCGCUGAACUUAAGCAUAUCAUAAGCGGAGGA
rnacentral:misc_RNA from 1 species